GCCAGGAACGGGGAAUGAGGGUGGCACUGUUAUUAUCCGAGCGGAGAAAGGGCGCAGCGGUGUUUGCACAGUGCGGACGGAAGCGCUGGUGGCGGCCCUGAGGUGUUGGGUGUGCGGCAGCGGGGCAGCGAUGACAAGGUGUAACCUGCCUCAGGUGAAACCCCUGGCUCCAAGCCUUCCCCCUGACCCCAAAAGAGGUAAGGCUUGUGGGAAGAACAAAUAUCAUUUAUGAAAUUGCAACAGGGGCAACAGCAGGAGAAAAGGAGAAUGCUAGAGCUGCUUCUGGGCCCAUGCCUCAGAUGGUUUGGAGCUGGGUGGUGCUUUGGUGGUGUUUUCUUUUUAACAGUGGUGAGGUGUCCUGGAGAUCAAAUGAGGAGAUAUGAGGAGCCAGAAAGCAUUUCUGAGCAUUCAAGUUUUGUAAUCAUGUUACUGCUCCCUGAGCUCAGCUGACACAGGAGACAGGUAAACAUCUCCCACUGCCCAGGUAGGUGACAGUGUAUAAAUCUUCAGAACACCCUGAGGAAUAACAAGUCUUUUGCAACUUUGCCUUUGAACACUGAAGGAGUUAUGCUUGCAUGAUGGAUGGCAGCGGUGCCCAGCCAUAUUGUGAGGCAUAGCACAGCUCCCAACUCCCUUGCAGAGGUUUUAUCCUCAGCUGGAGGGAGGGUACAGCAAGCUGUGUGUCAGUGCUGACCCUUGCAGCUGUAGAAACUUGUCAUUUCCUUUCCAAACACCAGCACCCUCAGCAAGGCAGUUUGCCUUGGGCCAAAAGCCAUUCCUGUAGUGUCUGUUCCUGCUAUAUACAUGUAUAAUGUUAACUUACCUGAUUCCUGAUGUGGGUUUCUGCACAACCACUGCCACAUAUCUGUGUCUUGUCAGUGUGGUGGUUUUGGGAGCAGCUUCUUCCAUUAUCAAGCCUUAGAGUGAGUUUACCUGAGAGUGUGUCCCUGUUCAGGGGAGCAAAGCAGUGCUUUGCUCUGCUUGUGCUGAAUCAUUGUUACCUAGCAAGUUUGAGAACAUGAAAUCAUAUGUUAUUGUAGCAUAUUACAGCUUCAGAAAAUGUAUUGGAUUCUGAGUUUAUAUCAAAAGACUAAUUCUUGAUUGAGGUGAUAAAAUAUCUAGGUCUAGAACUUUGCCUUCACAGCUCUUUGUAAAGUAAUUGCUUUAGUAGUAGUGGCAAAAGAAAGGACAUGUUCAUUUAUGAUGCUUUAAAUCAGACAAAUAAUUUUUGAAGACAAACAACAAAACUGUAGCAGAGAGCUCUGGUGCGGGGCUCCUUCUUAGAUUGUAAACACUGCAAGACAGAAACCAUCAAUAUUUACACAGUGCUCAGCCCAGCACAGUGCAGCUUCUCUGGCUGGGCCUUUGGAGGCACUAAUAGGAAUAUUAAAUCAUGCUGAAUACCUUCUUGCAAUAUUUAUGGUUUAACGAUAACCACGCGUGUAUGUGCCGAAUACUGUGGAUUGUGACCAUGCAGGGCCAGAACCAGAAAACCUGGGAUGAGGCCAAGCCUUGUGGUGUCUUCCCCCUGCUCAUCACGUGUGCUGCAGUGACUGCGACCCUUUCUGGUGCUCCCAAUAUUCAUCAAAACCAACUUAGAAGGAAUGAUGUGAGAGCAAAGCAUUUCUGGAUUCACUUGAAGACUGACACAUGGACAUGUUUCCGUUGAAGUUGCUACAGGUGAUAGGAGCUUUCUUCAGAAGACCGACAAAAGGACUGGAGCACAGUGAGUUAUUAUUACAACCACUUAUUAAAAAGACAAAAGAACAUGCUGUAAGACAACAAAUAAUAUAAUCUGACUUGUGCAAUGCAAUAACUUCUCAGUGCUACAAAAAACAUCAGGGACGAAUACAGUCCUGAACGCACACUCACAAAGCCAUUCCAGAUUGCAACUGUGAGCACCCAUAUGAGUUCAACAGAAAAAGGUAAGAUAUAGUACUUUAAGCACAUGACUUCAAUAAUUCUUUAGUUUGAAGCCAGGGAUAAGUGAUAGGCUGGACAUUCCCACCAGGGAAAUAGGCUAGUUACAUCAGAAUGGGUUACCCUUUGCUAUUCAACAUCUCAGCUCCCUAGUUACCAUCUCCAAACGAAGGUGGUUGCCUCAGCACAUGGUUGUUUACACAGUGACUUAUCUUACCUUGGUGAAAUAUUUGAUACCCAUAAAACAUCCAUCACACUCUGUCCUACUGCUUUUCUUUAACUCAAGGCAAGGCCCAUCCCCUCUUCCAAAACGUUUGCCAGCUUUGAAAUAUGGCAGUGUUGGCACUGGUGUAGCUCAGGGGCCAUGCAACGGUUGCUUUCUCCAGAGGCUCUGCAACACCUCGGUACUUCCCCCUCUUUGAAUAGAGGUGGCAAAAUCCAUAAUUUGUUUCCAUUCUGCUUGGCUGGAAAUGAAGAGAAAUUUGGCACCCUGUCAUGGAGAUAGUUAAGUGAAGAGUCAAUACAGUGAAGGCCUUUGCACCAGAAGUAGCCCAUAAUAGGUGGUGGCAAUGUCACAGCUCUGCUUGUUUUUUAAUAUGGCUUUUUUUUUUUUUUUUUUCCUCUUUCAUGUGUGAGUUUUUUUCCCUCUGGGUGGAGCAGAGCUGGGGAGGUGAUGCCUUACCUGCCACAGCUCGGUAGAUCGCAAUCUGGAACUGGCAGAGUGUUAACACAAUGCCCCAGCAGAGCUUUUCUGUCUCUAAUUUCAAUUAUUAUGUUGUUACUGGAUCAGUGAAGAGAAGCAUGAAAAACACAAUUACCAGGAAGCCCUGUUCCUUUGCUCGCCCCUUUGUCUCACUGCGAAUGGGGCAUGUGACUCACGGAGCAAUAGAGGACCGGCUGUAAUCUCACGCACUACCGAGAAGGGUGCUGUCCGCCGAUGGGAUCCAAGCGUGGGAAAGCCUGACUGCUGGCUGGAAGGGCCAGUCACGUCAUGUUUUGCAGCUGGCAUCCAAAUGCAUCCUGAUGAAUCGAGUGAGAGCAGUUACCUUCUCCUGCCGUCCGAGCAGCCGUGCAGAAGAGGGGCUGUAAAAACCUCCCCGCAUGCAAAAGCACAGGCAAGAGACGAUGUUGUGAAUGAGCUUACUGUGACAGCACAGCAAUGUUUUAUAGGCACUGUUUUACUGGCAUAACAUCAGACUAAAGGGAGAGGGGAUGAGUAUCUUUGAGCUGUGAAUGCUGGUCCCAGGUUUGCCCCGUGCAGGACCAUGGUUAGUGGGCCUGACCCGACCCUGUUAUGCGAUGCAUAGUGGAAAUAGAGAAAUCCACUUGCUCUCUGCACUCCAAAUCAUGUGUAAAGCUAUGACCUCAACAACAAAUACCAGUACCAGCAGAGCAGCCAAUAUUUUUAUCAUUCAUUGCUAUCAAAAGUGUCAGCUCAAAGUCAUCAGAUUUGAUAGGUGAGCAUGCUCCAAACUGAUGGCUGAAGCGAAUUAUUUGCCUAUUGCGUGAUGCAAAAACAAUGUCUUACAGGAGAGAACAGACAUUGGCAAACAAACUGACAAGAAGAUAUACUUCUGGGGAAGGCUUCUGAUUUGAUCUGGAAGGAAACAUUGAGUAUAAAUAGGGAGAAAGUUUACCUGCAUGAAAGGCGGGGUUCAGCCAAGGCUUGGACUUCCUUGCUCUGCUGGAGAACAGUGUGAAACAUACCUGCUAUUUUACUCCUUCUGAGCUGUUCUCAUUACAAAAAGAUAUGGACGGUUUGGUGAUAAGCAGUCUGAACUGUAGCAUACAACCAGCUGUGGAUAGAGCAAAGCAAGCCUGGCCUGGAAAAGCAUCAGAGGCUCCAUGUACAGUAAUUCACCUACAGGUGUCCGUGUGUGGCUGCAUGGACGUAUGAGAUCGGAUGGUCCCACCGAGAUUAAGACAUCAACAAAACCAAGCUUUUUUUUUUUGCUUUUUUUUUUUUUUUUUUUUUAACCAAUAUAAUCCAUACAAUACAAUACAAGAGGAAUUGACAAUACAGUACAAUUUUAAAAAUUCUUAAUACUUGGACAAGAAAAUCCUUCUUUUAUAUUAUCUCUUCAACUAUCAUUGCUUCUUAUCUCCUUCCUUUUUACUCUUUUAUUGCCUUUCAAAAUAGAUUAUUUCCCUGGAAGAUCGAAUUUACAAUCUUCUGCUGAUUGAAAUGUUUAAGUAGUGAUUGAUGAAAUAAAAAUGAGGCAGUUUGUACAGCUGUGAGUGUGCGGGUAUCUUUCCACAGGAUCUUUUAUAUCCCUCGCCAUCUCACCUGUGGGAUAUACUUCCACUUUUUCACCUGCCAGAGCUGUGGGGUUUCUUUUCGUCCCCCCCUCCCCGCUCCCACCCCAGCUCCCUCCCCCUUUGUGACUCCUUAAUUCAGGUGAAGAUGUGAUUUGGAGGUUUAGAAUAAAGUGCGCCAUCUGCUUUAAAAAAAACAGUAAUAAAAAGAAGGGAAUCCGAGUCAUAGGUCCUUUCAUCUUUUGUGAGGAAGACGGCAGAGUCUGAAAGGAUCACCCUGCAUGACUGAAAAUACCAAAGUCCCCUACAGUUUGAUAUUGCUGUACACUGGGUAACAGACUAGCUUUAGGUCAACUAAAGAUCAUGAGUAA